rnacentral:rRNA from 1 species
AUGAACGCUGGCGGCGUGCCUAAUACAUGCAAGUCGAGCGAACAGACGAGGAGCUUGCUCCUCUGACGUUAGCGGCGGACGGGUGAGUAACACGUGGAUAACCUACCUAUAAGACUGGGAUAACUUCGGGAAACCGGAGCUAAUACCGGAUAAUAUAUUGAACCGCAUGGUUCAAUAGUGAAAGACGGUUUUGCUGUCACUUAUAGAUGGAUCCGCGCCGCAUUAGCUAGGUGGUAAGGUAACGGCUUACCAAGGCAACGAUGCGUAGCCGACCUGAGAGGGUGAUCGGCCACACUGGAGCUGAGACGCGGUCCAGACUCCUACGGGAGGCAGCAGUAGGGAAUCUUCCGCAAUGGGCGAAAGCUUGACGGAGCAACGCCGCGUGAGUGAUGAAGGUCUUCGGAUCGUAAAACGCUGUUAUUAGGGAAGAACAAAUGUGUAAGUAACUAUGCACGUCUUGACGGUACCUAAUCAGAAAGCCACGGCUAACUACGU